GCUUUCGUGGUGUAAUGGUCAGCACACUCCGCAUGUAUUCGAGAGGUCCGCGUUUCGAAUCCCGGCGAGGGCA
rnacentral:tRNA from 1 species